AGCCUCGUAGGCUUAUUACAAAUUUUGGCCAAAUUAUGGCAUUUAUUCGCGACGAUGAACCAAGCAAGCAAGGCCCGUCGCUGUUGCUGAUGGAUGAUGAUGCUACAGUGUCAGUAGGCUUGGUGAACUUAUUCGCCUAGGUUUACCGGGAAAUAUAAACGUGCGGCAAGACGGGAAUGGUGUACUUGUGGAAACUGCAUCGUGGAAGAGAUGUGGGGAAAUCGUUCCUGUUGUCAAGAAAUUGAAAAGGUUAUGCAAAAAAACAAUGAAGAGCCAUACCACAAUGGGUGCAUUACCACACAUCCUUGGUUUGAACCAGCCAUCUUAAAUCCUGCAAAACUACAAAUUGCAUAUUGUUUCACAAUACCAGUAGCCUGUGACCGAAGGGGGAGUCGAAAGGCGUUACAGGUAUAUAGCCGAUCGGCAAUUUGUAUGUUGGUGCUGGGGUUAUCUUGGCAAAGACAGGCGAGUGCUGAUGUCGUGUAAUGAAGUCCAUACAUGAGGCAUUUCCUGAACCCAGUGCCAACUACACAGGGUUUAAAUAUCCUCCCCAGACCUCCUUUAACCAGAGGCUCCUCAUGCUGUAGCUAUGUUAAUGUAUUGCCAGUAUGAAUUACUAUGUCUGUGUUAAAUUAAUUUUAUCUAUUAAAAUUGUAUAUUUUAACAAUAAUUUAUUUUUGGUUAAUUACAAUGCAAUUCAACUAUAUAAUAUAGAAUGCCCUGAAAUUGAGGUGUUUUCUGUUCAUAAAUAGGCUUAUACAAUCUGCAUAUCAUUCACUAUUGUUAUAAAAUAGACUAUGUAAAGCAUAAUUCCAAUAGCUUAUGAAUUACAGAGCAAACAAUACAGUGUAAGAUGUAAAAUUGUAUGAUUCAAUUUUCCUGACGAUACUAGGCACCUAUUUAUUAACAAAAUUAAGGCAUUACACUAUACCAGGUUUUGUGUGCUUCGUAAUAGCAUAUUUAUUUUAGUAAUACGGUAUGUCCAACAACCUUAAAAACAAUAUGCAUUUCUUUUUUUUUUCUUUUUUUUAAAUCUAAAUAGUAUUACUACUGUACUAUAUACUGUAUAAUUGCAAUUCAAUUAAAAUCAUUUACAAUUUGAUUAAUGAAAUACUUGUUUGAUUACUAUUGCAGUAUCCAUGCUACAAGAGACUCUCAUGAUAUGCCUAUAUUAUUUAACACUGACGAACUCUUAUUAUUUUUUCACAAAAUGGGACAACCUUUAAUAAGUACUGAAACAAAGUGAAGACACUUUCCACUA